AAAAUAUCCCUGCAAAAAUGAAAAUUACCUAAAUUAGCGACAAAAUCACUGGUAUGCACAAUGUGAUAGAUAAAUAGAGUUUUAGGUUACCCAAUUGUUGACAACAUUGCCAACUAUGAUUGCCCAUGUCGGAACUUCUGAUAGCGACAGAAGAAGAGGCAGAAAUUUGCUCGCAUUCUUAGAUGGAUUCUCCAUCUUUCCUGCCUGAAUGAGCCUCAACUCAGCCUGGCUGAUGAUGGGGAGACUAGUUUCAUGGGAUUAAUUUGCUCGCAUUCUUAGAUGGAUUCUCCAUCUUUCAAAACACUUAAAAGAUUUAUGGGAUUAAUUUCAAAACCAGAAGAUUUGGGAGACUAGUUUCAAAACAUAAAAUAUUUUGGACGACUAAUGUUGGAAAAAAAAACCCUUUACCUACAUAUGCCUCUUGGUUAAAUAGACGCUCUCACUUCGUCUUUUUAAAAAAGAUUUAGCGACCGGUGUUACUUUUUGAUAAUAAAAAAAGUUGAUAAUAUCCUUGUUUAAAUAGAAAUUCCUACUCUCUGUCUUCUUCAAAAAGUCUAGCUUUGAAAGAUCUAAAUCUUUCACAUGACAAUCACAUGUUAGUAGUGGAUUCGGAUUAGGACUGAAAUAGUUUGGUUAGUGUACUGGACUUUUUUUUGAAUGAUUUUAACUUUUGAAUGGAUUAUUUGAGUUAAAUAUUAACAACCAUAAUUAUUCUUUAAUGAAAAACAUAAUUACUGUUUAAUUAAUAGUUUUCUAUAAUUACAAUUUAUGAUUAAAUUUUUACUACUGAUUUUUUUAUUUGGUACAACAAUGGCCAUUAGAGAAGAGUAAUUUAAUUUGUUUGAUUAUUUGUUCAAUCAACUAAAAUAAAGACUAUUAAACUUAUGACGAUUUAAGAGAUAUUAAAUUAAUUAAUAAGUUUUCCUAUUAUACAUAUGAGAGAAGUUCCUGAUAAGUCAUGGAUUGAUAUUCCUAUAUUGAAAAGAAGAGCGAAAGGUGAUACUCGAUAUCGAGACAGAUGAGAAGCAUUCCUUGAAUAUGCAUAUGCUAAUCUGAGGAAGAUAGAGAACGAGGACUCUUGUUCAGCUUGCUCUUGAUGAAAACACGGAUGAUACUGAUGACCCAAAUGAGACCGAAGGAGAAAUUUCUCUUAAUUACUCAUACCCUCAGAAUGUCAAUUUUAAUAUGUAUACUUCACAAAUUCGACUUGAUAUUUGUAAUGUAGGAGAUUGAAUACAAAGAUCCUUAUGCAAAUUCGACUUGAUAUCUGUAAUGUAGGAGAUUAAAUACAAAGAUCCUUAUGCAAAUUCGACUUGAUAUCUUGUAUGCAUUUAUUAAAUAUUUCAAUUAUGUUAGAUUAACAAUUUAAGUUGCAGAUGAGCCAAAGAGUUAGGAGGCUAUCUUUUCCUCGGGAUCGAGAAGGUCCAUCAUCCUGAUCGUCCUCACGACCAUCUCGGAGUCAGUUAUCUCUACAUGGGACCAUCUCGGAGUCAGUUAUCUCUACAUGGAUCCUCACCAAUUGAAGAUAUUGCGGGGACAUCUCAAAUGGGUACACCGCAACAUCAAGAGCAUUACCAGAUAUAGACAAUGCUUGCGAUGGAUCUGGUGAUGAUGAGAUCGAGCACGAGAGGAUGUCCGGAUCUUCUCAGUCAGAGAUGGCAUGUCUCCGCUCAUGGACUCCGUCAGUAUCUCGCAUCCCUCUACCAGAAAAAGCUAUUGAAUUACAAAAAAAAUAUGAUAUGAACUAAAAAUUGAAGAGAGAUGAUAUUAAAAGAAAGGACCGUGCUAUAAAACAGAAACUAGAUAAAGCUAUGUCAGAUCUAAUGAGGGAAAAAGGCCAAAAAGAUGAUGAGUGAGUGGUGAGUUAGACUUUUUGGUAACUUUUGUGGACUUUUGGAUUGUGUUGAACAUAUUAUGAUUUCCUAAUUAUGUGGACUUUUGGAUUGUGUUGAACAUAUUAUGACCUCCUGAUUAUGUGGACUUUUGGAUUAUGUUAAACAUAUUAUGACCUCCUGAUUAUGUGGGCUUUAGGAUUGUGAUGAACAUAUUAUGACCUCCUGAUUAUGUAUAUAUGUGAAUUGUUAAAUGUUAAUAUUAUUGGAUGUGAAUCGAUGAAUGUAAAUGUUAAUAUUGUUGGAUGUGAA